UACGUAGGGACCAAGCGUUGUUCGGAUUUACUGGGCGUAAAGGGCGCGUAGGCGGCGCGGUAAGUCACUUGUGAAAUCUCUGAGCUUAACUCAGAACGGCCAAGUGAUACUGCAGUGCUAGAGUGUGGAAGGGGCAAUCGGAAUUCUUGGUGUAGCGGUGAAAUGCGUAGAUAAUCAAGAGGAACACCUGAGGUGAAAGACGGGUUGCUGGGCCAACACGUGACGCUGAGGCGACGAAGCUAGGGUAGCAAACGGG
rnacentral:rRNA from 1 species